ensembl:lncRNA
GCCGGCUUAUUAUUUUGUGAAGACAGAAUAGACAGUUAACACACAAUUACAUAAAACAUUCAACAUCACACAUUUAAGGAAAACAAGAUAUUUUCUUCCCCUUUUUUAGUUCAGUAAUUUCUGUUAAUUUAUCCUAUUUAUCUCAAAACCUUUUAUUUGGCUUUAAAAGGAUGUUAUUUUAUUUAUUCCAAAUCCUAAGUUCAAGUUUAUCCUUUAAUCUAUUUGAAUUAACACUGUGUUAUUUUAAAUCAAGUUUUAGUUCUUUAGGCCCAAGAUUUAAUUUAAUCUUGGUCUAGGUUCACCUUUAAAUUUCAACCAGUUCUUAUUUUGUUUUAACCCAACAAAAUUAUUUACAUUUCCAUUAACACCAUUACAGCAUUAAAAUGUAAGGUUGACCAAAAUAAAUUACAAAAAAACAUGUAAAAACUGAAAACAAUUCAGCAAAAGGCUGAACAAAUCCCUUAAACAAACAAAUAAACAAAAGAAAAUUGUCUCUGUGUCCUUUAACUAUAAAUCCUGGAAUUGCUCUGAAUGAUUGUCCAGUGCUUUGAAAGUCCACUGUUCUUUUGCAGAGGUGUAUGGAUUAGUCCUACCAGUUUCUUUUAGCGAAAGAACUCAACAUCCAGCAGGGGCGGUUUUCCCUUUUCCUGCUCGGUACAGUUCAAUGGGUCCGUGGGUGGCUCGCCAUCUUGUUUCUCGCUCAGCGGAUCAAACUCCGAUUCUAGCUUGGCAUUUCCCGAUCCAAACCUUAAUGGCCUACCAUAACAACAAAACAAAGUGCAUAAACAUUUGAAAAUAACACACAGGUAGCCCUUAAAUAACAGUAAAAGUCCGUUUUUUCCAGCUCAUUUAGCCAAAAUGAGGUGACGCCAACAUGGCGCGCUGAAACACCGUCAAAGGCCUUUGAACUGCAGCCUGUGUCGGUUAAGCACCAAUCCACCGUUUUUUAACAUAAAACUGCAUAAAUCUGCUACCUUGACUUUCCAUUUGCAUGAAAUGAGCAAUAUAAUACAACAAAACAUUUCUUGUAUGAAAUAAAAUACAAUUUCUGAACUCACCAAGUCCCGUUCGGUUACGUUCACAACGUCACCAAGGCAAGGACAGCUCGGAAAAACAAAAAUAUAUUCUCCAAAGUACAAAGAUUGCUUUAUGUAGACUUCUGGCUUGGUUUUUAAUAUUUUUUCCACUCGUUUAGGCAGCAGCUCCGCAAGGACUUUUUGCAUUUCUCCCUCUCCAGCAUCAAAAAGAAGGAACAACCCGAUUGGGUGUGGCUGAUCACAGGAGUCACGCUGCAGCGUGCCCUUUCGAGUCUGAACACAUAUUUUAGCCAUUUUACCUGAAUUAACAUAAAACACCAUGAAUUCGCUAGUUUUUGAACCAUUUUAACAUAUUUUUAAACACAAAUGAAAUCCUAUACCAUGAAUUAUAUCAUUGCUGAUGUUUUUAAUGAAUUUUCUAACCAUUAUGAUCUAUUUAUUGACUAUUUAUCACCUGUAAUAUAUGUCUUAUGCCUGUUUUUACUAACAGGCUUUUAUUUAUUGACAGCUAUGUUAACCAGGGUUACACUAACACUUACUUUAACCAGAGUUUUCUUUGAACAAGG